rnacentral:rRNA from 1 species
UCACUAGUCGAGUGACACUGCGCCGAAAAUGUACCGGGGCUAAACAUAUUACCGAAGCUGUGGAUUGUCCUUUGGACAAUGGUAGGAGAGCGUUCUAAGGGCGUUGAAGCAUGAUCGUAAGGACAUGUGGAGCGCUUAGAAGUGAGAAUGCCGGUGUGAGUAGCGAAAGACGGGUGAGAAUCCCGUCCACCGAUUGACUAAGGUUUCCAGAGGAAGGCUCGUCCGCUCUGGGUUAGUCGGGUCCUAAGCUGAGGCCGACAGGCGUAGGCGAUGGAUAACAGGUUGAUAUUCCUGUACCACCUAUAAUCGUUUUAAUCGAUGGGGGGACGCAGUAGGAUAGGCGAAGCGUGCGAUUGGAUUGCACGUCUAAGCAGUAAGGCUGAGUAUUAGGCAAAUCCGGUACUCAUUAAGGCUGAGCUGUGAUGGGGAGAAGACAUUGUGUCUUCGAGUCGUUGAUUUCACACUGCCGAGAAAAGCCUCUAGAUAGAAAAUAGGUGCCCGUACCGCAAACCGACACAGGUAGUCAAGAUGAGAAUUCUAAGGUGAGCGAGCGAACUCUCGUUAAGGAACUCGGCAAAAUGACCCCGUAACUUCGGGAGAAGGGGUGCUCUUUAGGGUUAACGCCCAGAAGAGCCGCAGUGAAUAGGCCCAAGCGACUGUUUAUCAAAAACACAGGUCUCUGCUAAACCGUAAGGUGAUGUAUAGGGGCUGACGCCUGCCCGGUGCUGGAAGGUUAAGAGGAGUGGUUAGCUUCUGCGAAGCUACGAAUCGAAGCCCCAGUAAACGGCGGCCGUAACUAUAACGGUCCUAAGGUAGCGAAAUUCCUUGUCGGGUAAGUUCCGACCCGCACGAAAGGCGUAACGAUUUGGGCACUGUCUCAACGAGAGACUCGGUGAAAUCAUAGU